rnacentral:lncRNA from 1 species
AUAGGGAUUAUGUAUUGGUUGUCUAGAUCCUACCAAUAAGAGUUGUAAAUUAGUUUUUCUGUACCCUAUCAAUGGGUGUUAUGCAUUGGUACUCUGAUUAAGCUCACUAUUUCUAUUCUGAUCUUAUCAUAGGAUAUAAGUGUGAUCAUUAUUAAAAUUAUUGAGUUAUAUACUAUUUGAUUUGAAUCGAAUUUAUGAUUAUUAUACAUAUGAAUAUUUAAAAAUAUUUGAUUUACUUAAAUAGUAUGAAAUAUAUUCUUAUGUUUACUCA